rfam:Triticum aestivum genome assembly, contig: Triticum_aestivum_CS42_TGACv1_scaffold_328611_4BS
AAUGUACUCCCUCCGUCCGGAAAUACUUGUCAUCAAAAUGGAUAAAAGAGGAUGUAUGUAUGCGCAUGUAUAUGAACGCUUGUGUUUGUACUGAUGUUCAAAAAAAAAAACUAGAUGUAUUUUAGUUUUAGAUACAUGUCUUUUUAUCCAUUUUUGAUGACAAGUAUUUUCGGAUAUAGGGAGUAUGAU